rnacentral:rRNA from 1 species
UCAGGCCUAACACAUGCAAGUCGUACGAGGUGUAAAUAAUUCACUUGUGAAUUGUUUAUUACUACAGUGGCGCACGGGUGAGUAACACGUAAGAACCUGCCUUUUGGAGGGGGAUAACAUAGGGAAACCUUUGCUAAUACCCCAUAAAGCUGAGGAGCUAAAUCGCAUUUGCGGCCAAGAGAGGGGCUUGCGCCUGAUUAGCUAGUUGGGGAGGUAAUGGCUUCCCAAGGCCACGAUCAGUAGUUGGCCUGAGAGGAUGAUCAGCCACACUGGGACUGAGACACGGCCCAGACUCCUACGGGAGGCAGCAGUGAGGAAUUUUCCGCAAGGGGCGAAAGCCUGACGGAGCAAUACCGCGUGAAGGAAAAGGGAUCGUGGUCUGUAAACUUCUUUUCUCAGAGAAGAAGAU